rnacentral:tRNA from 1 species
ACGUUCUUAAUUUAAUUGGUAGAAUAGUAGUUUCCAAAACUAAAUGUUGAAGGUUCAAAUCCUUCAGAACGUG